rnacentral:tRNA from 1 species
GAAUAUAGCCCAGUGGUAGAGUGCUUGCUUAACAAAUGUAAAGUCCUGGGUUCAACUCCCAGUAUGUCA